rnacentral:tRNA from 1 species
CCGACCUUAGCUCAGUUGGUAGAGCGGAGGACUGUAGUCUGUUGCAGAGAAAUCCUUAGGUCGCUGGUUCGAAUCCGGCAGGUCGGA